UCCCUUCACAUUUAAGUUAACCUCCAUGUUUCUUCAUGGCUUAAUAGCUCAUUUCUUCUUAGUGCUGAGUAACAUUUCAUUAUCUAAAUAUAGCACAAUUUAUUAAUCCAUUCAUCUACAGAGCAACAUCUUGGUUUCUUCCAAAUUUUGGCAAUUAUGAAUAAAGUUGCUUUAAACACUUGUGUGUGGGUUUUUGUGUGGACAUAGGUUUUCAGCUUAUUUAAGAAAAUAGGAAUGCGAUUGCUGGAUUACAUGGUAAGAGUGUGUCUAGUUUUGUAAGAAACUGCCAAACUGCCUUUAAGAGUGACUGUACCAUUUUGCAUUUCCACUGGCAGUGCAUGAGAUAUUCUUUUGCUCUACGUUCUUGCUAGCACUUGGUGUUGUCGGUGUUUUGGCCAUUGUCAAAGAUAUGGAAUGGUAUCAGAUUGGUAUUGGUGUUUUAAUUUGCUGUGUCCUAAGGACCUAGGAUCUUCUCAGAUGCUUACUUGCCAUCUUUAUAUCUUCUUUGGUUAGGUGUCUGUUCAGAUGUUUUGCUUUUUUAAAAAUUUAUUUUCUAGUUUUAAGAAUUCUUUAUGUAUUUUGGGUAAUAGUUCAUUAGAUUUGUCUUUUGCAAAUACUUUCUCCCGGUCUGUGACUUGUUUACUCUUUUUCUUGACUAAAGUCUUAAUUUAUUUUUAGAGAUAGGAUCUCACUGUGUUGCCCAGGCUUGCCUCAAACUCCUGGGUUCAAAUGAUCCUACCACCUUAGCCUCAUGAGUAGCUGAGAAUAGAGACGCACUACUGCAUCACAUUUAAGAUCUGUUUGUAAAAGCUCUUUGGGUGAUUCUAAUUCACUGCCUGAUGAGUGUUCCACUGUUUUGAGCUACUUUCUCUUUCUUCCUUUGCAAAGCUAGGCCAUGCACAGCCAUCAGUUGUCCAUUACUCAUAAUUCGUUUCAACUUUUUUGUCACAGUUGGUCCCAUCCUACUCUCAAUUUCUCUGGUGUUGCUACUUGUUCUUCCAUGUCUCUCCCUACAAAUUCCAACACUUCAUCUUUGUAAUCUAAAUAUAGACUUUCUUUAAUAAUCUGUUCAUACUUAAUCUGUAGGCCCUUUUGGUUCUGUUAACAGCUGUACAGCAGGGUUCCCUCCCAUUUGCCUUGCUGGUUCAGAAAGUAGGUGACUGUGUUAGGCCGUGAGAUUAACAGUAUUAUUCUCCCACCAUGUUGCCCAUGCUGUCUUUGUUUUUCAAUUUUUUGAUAAGAUAUUAAUAAUUUGUAAAAUAAAGGUCCUUUUUUUACUUAGUGUCUAGUUUAUGUGCCAACUUAACCAUCUUUUUAAAAGCCUAUUUUAAUCUUAAUAAAGGUUGAAUUUUCAUCUCAUUCCUACCAUUUUAUUGUGUAUGUUUGAAUAAAUAUCUUUUCACUUAUGUAUUAAAGUAGAAAAGUAAUUUUCUACAGAAAUGUUAGAGGAAUAAUUUUUUGUUCAUAGAGUAAUCUGAAUAAUUAAGAAGACAUUGCAGCAGUGUAUCUAAGGCAUUCAUUUUACUUCUUUCAGUCAUGAGUUUGUGUGGAUGAAUAAUUGAAAAAUAAACAUAAAAUUAGCUCUUAGUUGUAGCUAUUUUCUGCCAUUAAAAUGUGCUGUUAUUGGUUGGUCAGGAUAAUUUUUUGAGGUGUGAUACAAGUAAGGCAAUUAUUUAUGACACAUGGUACUAGUAGAUCAGAUUUUAUUUUGCUGAAAGGCAGGUAUAAAUAUGAGGUAGAAAUAUGUAAAUAUUUGAUGUGUUUUAUUAUAAAAUAUACAAAUCAGUGAUUUUAAAGAACAUGCCUUAUUUUAUAACAUUAACUUUUUAUUUAAUUGGUCAGUUUUUCAUUCAGCAAAUAUGCAGGCACAUUUAUGUGUUCCAAUUUUAAUGUAGUUAAUAUUUAACUAAUUUUAUAAUGUAGAGGUAUGUAGAAGUUCACAUAAGUUCUUAAGAGUAAUUAAUAGACUUGACAUUCCAAUGUUUGAAAUGCGUAAUUUUUUUGUAUGUAGUACAGAUUGCUCAUGCGUUGUCAUGAUUUUAAUGUAAUUGCUACUUUUCAGUGAAGGAAUAUGAAGCUUGGUUUAAAUUUUUGAAAAUAACCAUGUUUUCAACUUGCUGGGUUUUUUUGUGGGGGGAUUUGCAUCUGACCAGUGCUAGAUUUAAUGAGUUGAAGCAAAUGAUGAUACACUGUUCAUUUUGUAUAAAAGUAUUUCUAUUAACUAACUUUUGAUAUAGUUAACAUUUUUGGAGUAGCAUUUUGGACUAAUUCUGAAUGAUGUAACUUGAAGUCAUGGAGCUUAGUCAUGUAAACAAAAGAUUAAAUAUAUGAUAAAAUUCUAAAUUAUGUGGUAUAUGCCUAGUGAUUUUUAUACUAUACUGUUACUAGACUAGAUGUAUUGUCUCAUCAUUAAAUCUAAAAACCUUAUUUUCCCCAAUAUGUAGAAAGAGAUGCUGUUUUCUCAGUUUGACCUUACUCUUCCGCAGUGUGUAGUGUGUGUUUUCUUUGGCACUUUUAGCCGCUUGUUCAUAUUAGAUCUGAUACAGAAUGGUGUUUUAUUUAUGUAUAUUUAUAAUUGCUUUAGAAGUGUCUAUAUAGUUCAACAUAUGUUAAAUAGUUCAUGUUUGUCAGAAAGUACCAUGACUUCAGCUUUUUUCUAAUCUGCAAAAGUUUAACUACUACUAGAAAUUCUCUAUGGUAAAGGAUAUUUGGAGAUAAAAGAGUUUUGUUUAGGCUAGAGUUAUUGAGAGUUGAGCUGGAUUAUGGAAGGUUGAUUGUAUUUGAAUAACUGUAGAAGUUGGCAAUAUAGUCUCAAAGUGUUAUAGGAACUUAAAGACAAACACACGGCGACUUUGUGAUAAAGCCAGAACCAGAGUCUAGAUUCUCUUUCCGAGUGAAAUGGUCUUUCCUUUGGGCAGAUAGCAUAGCAGGAAGGAGUAGUGGUCAAUAACAUUUUAUCAGAGAGGAUGGUGCUAAGCUUGUGGACUGUCAAAAGGAAUUCUUGAAGUCUUGAGUAGUCUUUUAUCAGGGUUGGAUUAGAAAGACAUUUCAGGCUCAAAGGAACUUUGUGUGCAAAAGCAGGUAAUCCUGAAAGUGCUUAUGUUGGAAGUGAAUCAUGGUAUUGGAGGGCAGGGAUUUGAAAUAAGUGGUAUUAUAUAUACCAAGCACUGUUGUAGGUGUGGGAUAUACACAUGGAAAAAACAGAAAUCCUGCCACCAUGGAGAUAUUUACAUUUU